GAUGAACGCUGGCGGCGUGCCUAAUACAUGCAAGUCGAGCGAACAGACGAGGAGCUUGCUCCCCUGCCGUUAGCGGCGGACGGGUGAGUAACACGUGGAUAACCUACCUAUAAGACUGGGAUAACUUCGGGAAACCGGAGCCAAUACCGGAUAAUAUAUUGAACCGCAUGGUUCAAUAGUGAAAGACGGUUUUGCUGUCACUUAUAGAUGGAUCCGCGCCGCAUUAGCUAGUUGGUAAGGUAACGGCUUACCAAGGCAACGAUGCGUAGCCGACCUGAGAGGAUGAUCGGCCACACUGGAACUGAGACACGGUCCAGACUCCUACGGGAGGCAGCAGUAGGGAAUCUUCCGCAAUGGGCGAAAGCCUGACGGAGCAACGCCGCGUGAGUGAUGAAGGUCUUCGGAUCGUAAAACUCUGUUAUUAGGGAAGAACAAAUGUGUAAGUAACUAUGCACGUCUUGACGGUACCUAAUCAGAAAGCCACGGCUAACUACGUG
rnacentral:rRNA from 1 species